rnacentral:rRNA from 1 species
UAGGGAAUCUUCGGCAAUGGACGAAAGUCUGACCGAGCAACGCCGCGUGAGUGAAGAAGGCUUUCGGAUCGUAAAACUCUGUUGUUAGAGAAGAACAAGGACGUUAGUAACUGAACGUCCCCUGACGGUAUCUAACCAGAAAGCCACGGCUAACUACGUGCCAGCAGCCGCGGUAAUACGUAGGUGGCAAGCGUUGUCCGGAUUUAUUGGGCGUAAAGCGAGCGCAGGCGGUUUCUUAAGUCUGAUGUGAAAGCCCCCGGCUCAACCGGGGAGGGUCAUUGGAAACUGGGAGGCUUGAGUGCAGAAGAGAAGGGUGGAAUUCCAUGUGUAGCGGUGAAAUGCGUAGAUAUAUGGAGGAACACCAGUGGCGAAGGCGGCUCUCUGGUCUGUAACUGACGCUGAGGCUCGAAAGCGUGGGGAGCAAACAGG